rnacentral:lncRNA from 1 species
AAUAAUACUACAUGUUACAUUGAGAAUUUAAAUCAAGUUAUAUUGAGAAUUAAAUUUAGAAGUUUUCAAUGGACCUUUACACAACCUCCCACGGGUCACUCUCCACUCUUCAUAAAAUUCCCACAAAACCAACAACAAACUUUUACAAACAUCUUAAUUUAUAACUUGCAAAUUCAUCACACACUCCUCACUCUCAAGGAUCCCACGAAGUCAACAAUACUUCACACGAGUAACAAAGUUACAAUCCCACCUCUGAGUAAAGAGAAUCUGUAACCCUGCAAUACUCUGACAUAAACCAUUCACUAAAACCCAUCUCUUAUAAGCCAUUAGAGAUUCACAUUGAAGCUCUAAUAAGGUUGAGCUCAACCUUCAUCCCUUUCCAUCACGACAACAUACACAUAAUAUAAUAGAGUUGAGAAAGAGAAGGAGUUAGAGGGAGAAACGAGGAAAGGAAACAUAAAAAAAAGAAGAUAAAGGUACCUAAGGUCUCUUAGUUCGUCGAAAAAUUGUAAAGGUUUGCCGGAAGCUCUUGCCGAAAUCUUGAAAAUCCAGAUUCCUCAAGAUUUCAGCGAGCAUAUUUCUUCUCUUUUCCUUGCUUUUUUUGUUGAUUCAUGAUCGUUGUAUGUUGUUGAUGUUUCCCCCCAUAAUUAUCAUGCUUAAUUCUUGGUGUAUGUGCUUUAAUUUUUGGAUCUAGGGUUUGUAGUAAUCACGAGGCUUGGUCCAAUUCGGUAUGUUUCUAUUUUAAUUGUUGUUUUUUAUCCCAGGUUCGAGUUUAGAAUCUCAUUUUAGGUAGGUUUCAUGUUCACUAUUUGGUAAUCUGGGUAGGUUUGGUUGAUUUCUGGAAAAGGGGACAAAGAACAUUCAUGUGUGUUCUUUGUUUGUUCUUGUUUUGUUUGGCGUUUGAUCCAUUUUGGUGGUGUGAUUUUUUAGUUUGCGUGUUUAAGAGAGGAGAGAGGCAGAGAGAAGAAAAGAUGAAGAAAGAGUAAUCUUUUUCUAAAUGAAGAGAGUCAGCUUGACUCUUAACUUAAAUACCCUCUCCCUCACUCUCUCAUUAUCGGUCACGUUAGUCUCAG